rnacentral:miRNA from 1 species
AGAGCAUGCUUGUACAAGGUAA